UUGAACGCUGGCGGAAUGCUUUACACAUGCAAGUCGAGCGGCAGCGCGGGGCAACCUGGCGGCGAGCGGCGAACGGGUGAGUAACAUAUCGGAACGUGCCCAGUAAUGGGGGAUAACUAAUCGAAAGGUUAGCUAAUACCGCAUACGCCCUGAGGGGGAAAGCGGGGGAUCGAAAGACCUCGCGUUAUUGGAGCGGCCGAUAUCAGAUUAGCUAGUUGGUGAGGUAAAGGCUCACCAAGGCGACGAUCUGUAGCUGGUCUGAGAGGACGACCAGCCACACUGGAACUGAGACACGGUCCAGACUCCUACGGGAGGCAGCAGUGGGGAAUUUUGGACAAUGGGGGCAACCCUGAUCCAGCCAUUCCGCGUGAGUGAAGAAGGCCUUCGGGUUGUAAAGCUCUUUCGGCAGGAACGAAACGGUCGUCUCUAAUAUAGAUGGCUAAUGACGGUACCUGAAGAAGAAGCACCGGCUAACUACGU
rnacentral:rRNA from 1 species